CUCAUACACAGUAAUACAGAUGCAAUAGUUUAUAUAUAUAUUAUAGGUUGCAGUACGCAUACAAGUAAUAGUAAUUAUUGCAAAAAGUUCACUUCUAAUAUUUGGCACCCUUCAGAUGUUUGGACAUAGAGUUCACAAAUCCUAAUGUAUUUUUGUUUUGAGUCCAUUAAGCUAAUACCCUCUAAAUAACCCAGAACUGAAAUCGUCUCUAGCGUGGAUAAGAAAUUGGCGCUGGCUCGCGAAUCUUGAAACCCUGCUUGGAUGAUCGAGGAAGUUCUGUAAAAUUUCAACAGGAUUGUAGACGUACAUGAACUGAAUCUUGGUGGAGCGAAAUUGGAGAGGAUUCUGGAACAGAGAUGAAGAAUGUUCAUCUGGUUGGCAGUUCGUCUAUGCCACACCACACCAAAAUGUUUUUCUGAUAAAUGUUCAGGAGAGAAAAGAUUCAGAGUAAUACUUGAAAUAUAAGGUUUCUUUUUCUUAAGGACAAUUUUUGCACUAAUACUGAAUCUGAAAGACUUUGCCCAACAACGAGACGCGUGAAACAUUUUGCCAAAGUCUCUCCUGUCAUUUAUGGAUGCAAACGGACUUGAAUACAAAUGCAAUGGGUUGGAGGUUGGGGAAGGAAUAUAACUUUUCCAAUCCUUCAGAACAAGAGAUGUAAAAUAUGUUUUUUGAUUAUGAAAGAAGGAAAUGUUUUUUUUUGUUUAGAUGUAUUGUCAUAACUGAAUAUGGUGCAGGUACCUAGGAGGCUGGCACUUAUGCAUAAUACAGUGUCUGUUGGCCAGACUAGAAGGUGGCAGGUGAUACAUCAAUGGGGUGAAAACGUCCUCGUAGAGGCGGUGUCUCAAUCUUAGCAGUCCUAUAGAGAAGCUCUCGGUUACUGGACAUGUGGGAGAUACACCUAAUUGAUGUCUUACCUGAGAGGUAGAAACCCUGCAUGGGUAAUGCCAGUGACAGCAAUAAACGCUGGCUACCAGGGUACAGUAUGCCGUCAUCACAUGGUAAUUCAGCAUCUCGCAGUGGUUGAUAGAAUCCUAGUACCCUAUAUGUGCUGAAUUUACUCUGAAUCAAAGGCAAUAUAUUUGUGGCUUGCUCUCAGAGAUGUGCGGACGCAGAGUGAGGUUCAGGGCGCUUAUCUCUGAGGAGUAACCAGAAGAGGAGGGAUGUAUUCAGCACUAUGUUGGGGGGAAUGGGACCCAGUGUAAAGUGGCUCAGGAUUUUGUCAACCAGGGUGAGAGGUUGGUAAAGAGUGUGAGAUGGUAUAGGAUAGAUAUGUCAGUGGCUCUGGCGUGCACGCAGCGGCAGGCGGAGUUAUAGACCACCAUCAAGCUGAUUGUACAGUCUCUCUAUGAGGGGCAGUGGCCUGAUGAGUUAGCAUCACCGCUCAGUGAGACUUUGCAAAACACAUCUCUUUCACUAAUCCAAAGAGGUAGUCGAAUGCCUGGAUGGGCUGUACUGGUUUGGAUUGUGAAAGGGUGUGCUGUAUGAUCCAUGUACAGAAGUACAGACUCGGUCUGUAGAUUUUGUGGCGUCAAUGGGCUUACUGACUGGGGAUUCUAUCUUGUUGCAUGUGUGGCUAAAUGACCCACAUGUGGUCAGAGGGUACGGAAGCUGGGGGCAGGUUUGUAUUUCCCUCUGUCGAAAGCAUGACCAUGAUCUCCUCUGCAUACCAGGUCAAUACACGGUACUCUGUGUUCUGGAUGGAGAGAUCAUUGCUGGGAAGGAAGCACCUGGGUAUUAUUUAGGACGUAGACAAGUUUUCCUUGUCCUAGAUGAUACCAAUGUAACGUCAGUCAUGAAACAAGGGUAUUUCUUGAGCCUAACAGUAGGUAGGGGUGCAGGAUAUGCCCUGGGCAUGGUCACUGGAAUCCAGUCACAGGGAUAGAAUUGUGUGGGUUUUUGUUUCUCAUUGUUUGAGUUUUAUAUGUGUUGUUAGACUCAAAACUUAUAUGGAAAGCUCUCCUGCUUAUCUAUGCAAGUUGAGGGACGAAUUGAUGGUGGGGUAUCUUCAUACAAAUGAGAGACUUUGCUACCAAUUUAGAUCCCUGAGGUACCGCAGACAGGCCAAGUUGCAGUAGGAAAAACCACUGUGAACAAGCCUGCAUAAUCCCGACCCGUAUUUACAGUAAAGAGUUAUAGAAGGUUGGGAGCGGGAUAUGUAGUUUGAUGGGUCAUAUGCAUAUAUGUAGAUAUUAUGGUAAUGGGUUGAUUUAUGUCAUGGUGUAGUGUGAUAAUGGUAUAUUUUAGGCUAGUAAGAUGGGCAAGAAAGGCCCUCCUCGAGACUCUGUAUCUGAAAGCUGGUUAAUAUACUGUUCUGAGUGUGUGCUGGUGAAUGAUGAGUGAAUGGACACCCCUUGCCUUGCUUGUACUACACCCCUUUCAUGAAGAUGUCAGAAAGAA